rnacentral:rRNA from 1 species
CAGCACCUCAAGUGGUCAGGAUGAUUAUUGGGCCUAAAGCAUCCGUAGCCGGCGCUGUAAGUUUUCGGUUAAAUCUGUACGCUCAACGUACAGGCUGCCGGGAAUACUGCAGCGCUAGGGAGUGGGAGAGGUAGACGGUACUCGGUAGGAAGGGGUAAAAUCCUUUGAUCUAUUGAUGACCUCCUGUGGCGAAGGCGGUCUACCAGAACACGUCCGACGGUGAGGGAUGAAAGCUGGGGGAGCAAACCGGAUUAGAUGCCCGAGUAGUCC